CCUGACUAGGGGACAGGAGCAGUGGUGAGACGGAUGGUGCGAGCGUUGUCCGGAAUGACGGGUGUUAAAGAGCUCGUAGGCGGGUUGUCACGUCGUCUGUGAAAUCCUAGGGCUUAACCCUGGACGGGCAGGCGAUACGGGCUGACUUGAGUACUACAGGGGAGACUGGAAUUUCUGGUGUAGCGGUGGAAUGCACAGAUAUCAGGAAGAACACCGAUGGCGAAGGCAGGUCUCUGGGUAGUAACUGACGCUGAGGAGCGAAAGCAUGGGUAGCGAACAGGAUUAGAUACCCCUGUAGUC
rnacentral:rRNA from 1 species